rnacentral:rRNA from 1 species
AAUAGAUACCCAGGUAGUCCACGCCGUAAACGAUGUCGACUUGGAGGUUGUUCCCUUGAGGAGUGGCUUCCGGAGCUAACGCGUUAAGUCGACCGCCUGGGGAGUACGGCCGCAAGGUUAAAACUCAAAUGAAUUGACGGGGGCCCGCACAAGCGGUGGAGCAUGUGGUUUAAUUCGAUGCAACGCGAAGAACCUUACCUACUCUUGACAUCCACGGAACUUUUCAGAGAUGAAUUGGUGCCUUCGGGAACCGUGAGACAGGUGCUGCAUGGCUGUCGUCAGCUCGUGUUGUGAAAUGUUGGGUUAAGUCCCGCAACGAGCGCAACCCUUAUCCUUUGUUGCCAGCGGUUAGGCCGGGAACUCAAAGGAGACUGCCAGUGAUAAACUGGAGGAAGGUGGGGAUGACGUCAAGUCAUCAUGGCCCUUACGAGUAGGGCUACACACGUGCUACAAUGGCGCAUACAAAGAGAAGCGACCUCGCGAGAGCAAGCGGACCUCAUAAAGUGCGUCGUAGUCCGGAUUGGAGU